UGAUAGAUUUCCACUUUUUUUGGGCUUGUUCAUUUAAUUAUGUUCUAGUUCUCUUGCAUGAUAGCCACAUUUUGAAAACUUAUAUUGCUGUCGCAAUGCAGAACAUUGAACCUUUUACUUCCGAACCCGCCCUAUUACCCAUCAAAUUUUGAUAUUAAAUUAGCACACCUUAGUAACAGGACGUUUCUCAAUAUUAUUCGAUCAGAUUACUUUAGGAUCAUAACAACUGUACUACUUAAUUGCAAUCUAAUUUCUUAAAUUGAAUAAUCUUAAUCCUUAAUUCUGAAUAACCAAAGUAAAAAUCAGCAAUAUUUAAAUUUUAAGUUGUUCUUGUGAAGACUUGCUGAUUUCUGCAAUCAUAAUAGAUUCAUUAGUAGGUUGUCCUGCAUCAAAUUUGGUCCUACAUCAUAGUUAUUAGGGUUUCAUUAGUGACACUGCAUUUCACAUCAUCACCCAGUAUCAUCAUUGCAUGUCAACCUAUAGUGAUAUGGAGUACUAUCUCAAUCAACCUAAAACCCCUGUAGCUACCAUGAAUUCCGACAUUUUGAGGUCUAUCAUAGAAUAGAUCGUUGCCAUGCGGGCUGGAUACAAAGAAUUCACAUAAGAGAUCCGUAAGCUCAUGCAAAAUUCUAGGACCCCUACACCGCCAACCCCUAUUGCAGCCCAACCUAAAAUCGGUUUGGUUGCACCACCUGUAAUCCUUCCCCAUUUUCUUGGGCACCAAACCCAGUGCUCAAGGUGUCAACAAUUCGACUACAUAGCAUCCCAAUAUUCCAUUAGGACCUACCUGAUUACUGAACCAGAAGUUAGGAGCCAAGAGGUCGAAUAUGUCGAAGAAGUCUAUGAACCAAAUAUAGAAGACUAUGAAGAAGACUUUGAAGACGAACCUACAGAAUUAGACUUUGUCCAAAAUGAUUC
rnacentral:lncRNA from 1 species